rfam:Triticum urartu cultivar G1812 contig448478, whole genome shotgun sequence.
GAGGUACUCCCUCCGUUCUGAAUUACUUGUCUUGGAUUUGUCUAGAUACAUGAUACGGAUGUAUCUAGACUCAUUUUAGUGCUAGAUACCUCCGUAUCUAGACAAAUUUAAGACAAGUAAUUCGGAACGGAGGGAGUACUUG